rnacentral:lncRNA from 10 species
CUGCCAUUUAGAAAUCCUGGGUUUGGUUUUCCUACACCCCGAACACAAAACCACAAAAUACCAAAGUUGGAGGCAACCUUAGUGAUUAAUAUCCCUCCUCUUACAGAUGAAAAAAAAAAAAGGAACAUGACCUGACCAAGGUUAAUAAUAAUACUGCAAAGGAAGGCUCUUUGGGAUUCACAUGGCCCUGUCAUAGGUGUUUAUAGAAUUUGGUUGUAAUGUGCCCUCUGACUUAUAGGACGAAGAAAAAAAAUCCUUGCAUGUCAACAAUAUGUGCCAUCAAAGUUCUCCAUGCCUCUGUCUGGUUUGAUUCUCACCAUCCUAUGUAGUGGGCAUUAUUUUUUCUCAUUUUACACACAAGGAAAACAAGGCCCGGAAAGGUUAAGUCCAUUCAGUUAGUAAGUGGCAAUCCUGAGCUCAGGCUUCAAUCUUCUGCCUUUUAUUCAAUAUCAUUUCCAAGUCCAUCUCCACUUUGAUUCUCUGGGGAUUGAGGGUAUAGUGGAAAUUAGCCAUAACUUGGGUAGGGCAAGAUAUAUAGGAGCUCUAAAAGUCUCUACCCUAUUCUGGAUGCAGAUACUGUGGGUUGCUAGAAAUUCUAAAGAAAGGAUUCUGAGUUUUAGUGACUCACCUUCAUUGGCAUGUAAAUACUUCCCUCUUAGAACCACUGUAGCUGGAGCAAGGGCCUCAUGGCUGCUAACAUAAUUUGGUGCUGUCAUCUCAGCAGCUGCCUUUCCUUAUCUUAAAUACCACCUCCCAGGAUAGUGUGGCACUGAAAAGCUCAAGCUGUUAGAAUCUGCUGGCUACUCCAAUUCCUGGUUCUGUCGCUUUAGAUGACCUGAGCGAUAUUAUUUAAAUUUCCUGCAUCUCAGUGUUUCCAUCUAUAAAAGGGAGCUAGUUAUAGUACCUUCCUGAGAAGGUAAAGACUAAACGAGGUAAAAAACUUAGGAGAGUAAAGUGCUCAAUAAAUACUAGCUGCUGCUGCAUUUGCUCUUGAGACAACCGAAGGAAUUCUGUCACAGAGCUGAGUUUUCACCAGGAGUACAAAAGGAAUAUGUUCAUAGUUCAUGGACUCGGUGGGCAUGCCAGGGUGACAGGUAUCCAAAAGACAGAAUCACAUACAGUUUACUUCUUUUUUUUUUUUCAGACGGAGUUUCACUGUUGUUGCCCAGGCUGGAGUGCAGUGGCGUGAUUUCAGCUCACGGCUACCUCUGCCUCCCGGGUUCAAGCAAUUCUCCUGCCUCAGCCUCCCAAGUAGCUGGGAUUACAGAUCAUCUCUCUACUGACCUUUUAGUGGCUUAGCAUUUUGUUGCAAUGCACAAGUGAAGUUGGGAAACAGAGCCAAGUGACAAGCUGUGAAGUAACAGCUCAGCCUUCACAAAGCAAAUGUGCUUUGUGCACUUCCUUGCCAGAGCAGAUGUGGCCUUGGUGGACUGUGGGGAGCAUCAUCUCUCAGGUAAAAAUAAAUUACUAAGAUUAGGACCAAAUGAUGCAAAUCCUUUCAUUUGCAAACAGAUCAUGAACUGGCAGCCAUGUGGAAAGAAGACUAGACUGCGAAUCACUUAGGAUCCCACCCUCGGUUUAGUCUAGAAUACUCUGCGAAUCAGCUUUUUGGCCCUAGGUAGGAAAGAGACAAAUGGAAGCAAAAUAGCAAAAUGGUGAAGAGGAGGGUUCUAGAGGCAGAGAGCCCUGCAGUCCUGAGUCCUGAGUCCACCGUUUAACAGAGUGACUUUGCUCAGCCUGUGGAUUAUAAUGAAACUUGCCUGUUAUAGGAUCCAGUUUUUUAGGUGGUAGCAACAUGCUCAAGGAAGAUGCAGCCCCUUCCUCCAGCCUGAGAGAAUAAAGCAUCAUUGGCUUAUGCCAACCAUGGCAAUCCCAUUCCCCUUUUCUCAUGAUUGAUUUGGGAAUGGGCAAGUGACCCAGUUCUAACCAAUGAGACGAAAGAAAAAGUCUAUUGGUCAGCUUAUCUCAGAAGAUUUUUGUUUCCUGCUAUAAAGAGAAACAGUAAGUUCCUUCCUGCCUGACUUAAAUGCAAUUGUGUGCAAACAUGUUACUUGGAGCUACAGCAACGAUUCUGUGACCAUGAGGCAAUAAGCCAAGGACAAAGGAUAGAAUAGUGAAAAGACAGAGUAUUGGAUUUUUUUUAUGAUAUCAUUGAACUGCUGGACCAAUGUGGAACCAUCUACUUUUAGUCUUUCAUGAUUUGUGAGAUGAUUAAACAUUUCUUUUUUUUAGCCAUUAUUUCUUUUCUGUUACUUGCAACUGAAGACAUCCUACAUAAUACAAACACUAUCCAACUUGGAUUGUAAUUUAUCUAUUUUCAGAUCUGUGUGUUCUGUCUUACUGAUUUUUGUAUUCUUAGCACUGAGUAUAAGGCUGCUACUUAGUAAGACUUCAAUAAAUGACUGUUUAAAAAGGUCUUAGAGGAUUUAAAAAAAAUUCUGAAGUUGCUGAAAUAUGAAGACCAGGAACCAAUUUCAGGUUCUAUAAAUUUCUCGCUUCCUUCACUUCUGGAGUAGUCUUCAUUUCUGUCUGAUUCUACCUUUACUAAAAUGAAUGAAUGAUUGAGAAAUACGAAAAAUGGCUGGUAUAGUGGCUACUGCUGAGAAGUAUCUCUUGGAAAUUCCCGGAAAUUCCAUCAGUCACAUUCAGACCUAACUCUCUGAUGAUCAAUGUUUCUGAACUCAAACCAGUGUACAUAAGCAGUGGACUAUUUAAAGUGGUAUUAGCCUAGAAUAUCUAGGACCCAUGUUUUAUGCAUUCAGUAAGCGUUUGUUUAAUGUCUGUUAUCUACCAGGCACAUUAUUAUGCAUUGGGCAUAUAGAGAUGACCAACCACACGGCCUCAAUCCUUGAAAAGCUUACAGUAACCAAAUAGGGUUAACGGCCUAAAGAGAGGUAAUUACAAGUCUUACACUCAGUCUUCUUAGCAUAGUAUGGUGCUACCUCUGAGUUAAUUAAGAUAACAAAAUUCCUAGAUAUAUAUCUUUGAUGAAACGGUUUCCAUGAAAACUUUCCAAGUUUGGUCCCUCCCCGGCUGAGUUCAUUUUGGAAGGUGACUUUCUGCUCUCAUCACCUAAGGUCCUUAACACGUAUCCUGUGUUCUCCGGAGGCACCCCUUGCCCAGAGUGUGCCCUCUGCAUGGUUCCCCCAGAACACCUAUUUCAAAGGAAAAGAAGUUGGAUCAUUCAGUGAAGAUUUGGGGGGCCACUUUUCUACGUGGGAGGAUUAUGAGUAUUACCUUCCUCCCCUAUGUAUUAGUAAAUAUAAAGAAAACAUAAAUUAACCCCCUUUCUGGCUGGGCACGGUGGCUCACGCCUGUCAUCCCGCACUAUGGGAAUCCGAAGUGGGCGGAUCACUUGAGGUCAGCAGUUUGAGACCAGCCUGGCCAACAUGGCAAAACCCCGUCUCUACUAAAAUAUAAAAAUUAGCCAGAUGUGGUUGCACACAUCUCUAGUCCCAGCUACUCGGGAGGCUGAGGCACAAGAACUGCUUGAGCCUGGGAGCAAGGGUUGCAGUGAGCUGAGAUUGUGCCAUUGCACUCCAGCCUGGGUGACAGAGCAAGACUCUGUCUCAAAAAAAUAAAAUAAAAUAAAAAUAAUUUAGACCCCAUUCUUCUUAGAUAACCAUGACUUCUGAAGGAGGUCAGAGCUCUUGUGCUCUGCAUCUCUGCUCCAUCAGCCUCAAGGCCACCUUUCAGGUCCACAUGAAAUAUAAGUGCACAAAGGCACCAGACUUAGCAUUAUUAGUUUCCCCCACUGGUCUGAUUUUUGUAGAAAUUGCCAGGAACUGAUUUUCUGCCCUUCCUUCCUAACAGACAAGCCUUCCAGCCCUCCCUGACACAGCUCUUCCCUAUCUCCUACUCUCUGGUCAUCAAGCUUUUAGAGAUGCCCUGGCCUUCUCUAGUUGCCCCAGCUGUAUUUUUUCUUCUUGGGAAUGCGUUGAUUCCAGAGCCUGACUGGGAAUAAAUCUCAGCUCCUCCAUUUAGCAGUUAUGGGAUUCAAGUUACUCUUACUCCCAGGGACUCAGUUUCUGCACCUGUAAAAUGGAGAUUUACCACCUUUCGUUCCAGCAUUACUGAUAUUGUUUGGCUCUGUGUCCCUACCCAAAUCCCAUCUCGAAAAUUAAUCCCUAUAGUCCCCACCUGUUGAGGGUCCUGGUGGGAGGUAAUUGGAUCCUGGGGGCGGCUUUUCCCAUGCUGUUCUCGUGAUAGUGAGUAAGUUCUCACGAGAGCUGACGGUUUUAUAAGUGUUUGACAGUUUCUCCUUCACACGCUCUCUCUUCUGUCUCCUGCCAUCAUGUAAGAUGUGCCUGCUUCUCCUCCUCUCAUGAUUGCAAGUCUCCUGAGGCCUCCUCAGCCAUGAAGAACUGUGAGUCAAUUAAACCUCUUUCUUUUAUAAAUUACCCAGUCUUGGGUAUUUCUUUGUAGCAGUGUGAAAACAGACUAAUGCAAUUACCAUAAUGGGCUUUCAAUUGAUGAACUUGCAUCACUGACUCCUCAACACGCAGCUGACUUCCUACUGUAAUUGUUCACCAUGCAGACAUUUGUGGAGCCACAAGCAUAACCAUCAUGGUAUUUAAGAUUCGUUCUGUAUCUGGAUUUAUGCAGUUUAUGAAAAAUCAUCAAACUGUCCUUAUUAUUGGUGUCUUUUUUCUGUAUAUAUGUUAUGCUUCAAUAAAAUAUUUACUUAAAAUUAUUUUAGGUAUGUUAAACUCACUACACCAGACAGGGCUUACCUUCUCACUCUGCUGUCUUUAUCCCUCUCUCUAAUUAAAAGGAUUACAC